UCAAGUGACUAAGUGUAUGUGGUGGAUGCCUUGGCGAUCACAGGCGAUGAAGGACGUAGUAGCUUGCGAUAAGCUGCGGGGAGCCGGCAAACGGGCUUUGAUCCGCAGAUUUCCGAAUGGGGGAACCCACCGACGUAGGUCGGUAUCACGCACUGAAUACAUAGGUGCGUGAGGCGAACGGAGCGAACUGAAACAUCUAAGUAGCUUCAGGAAAAGAAAUCAACCGAGAUUCCGAAAGUAGCGGCGAGCGAAAUCGGAUCAGCCCAGCACUCGAUAGCAGCCAACUUACGGGAACGGUCUGGAAAGUCCGGCCAUAGAGGGUGAUAGCCCCUUACUGGAAAAGGCAGCUGUGGUACUAAGUGUGCGAUAAGUAGAGCGGGACACGUGACAUCCUGCUCGAAGAUGGGGGGACCAUCCUCCAAGGCUAAAUACUCGUGAUCGACCGAUAGCGUACCAGUACUGUGAAGGAAAGGUUAAAAGAACCCCGGGAGGGGAGUGAAAUAGAUCCUGAAACCGCAUACAUACAAACAGUAGGAGCCUCGUUAAGGGGUGACUGCGUACCUUUUGCAUAAUGGGUCAGCGACUUACGUUUAAUGGCGAGCUUAACCGUAUAGGGGAGGCGCAGCGAAAGCGAGUUCGAACAGAGCGUUCAGUCGUUAGGCGUAGACCCGAAACCAGAUGAUCUAUCCAUGGCCAGGUUGAAGGUGUGGUAACACACACUGGAGGACCGAACCGACUAGUGUUGCAAAAUUAGCGGAUGAGCUGUGGAUAGGGGUGAAAGGCUAAACAAAUCUGGAGAUAGCUGGUUCUCCCCGAAAACUAUUGAGGUAGUGCCUCGUGUAUGACUCCAGGGGGUAGAGCACUGUUAUGGCUAGGGGGACAUGGCGUCUUACCAAACCAUGGCAAACUCCGAAUACUUGGAAGUUUGAGCACGGGAGACAGAGCACCGGGUGCUAACGUCCGGACUCAAGAGGGAAACAACCCAGACCGCCGGCUAAGGUCCCUAAUAUUGACUAAGUGGAAAACGAAGUGGAAAGGCUAAGACAGUCAGGAAGUUGGCUUAGAAGCAGCCAUCCUUCAAAGAAAGCGUAAUAGCUCACUGAUCGAGUCUUUCUGCGCGGAAGAUGUAACGGGGCUAAGUCAAUAACCGAAGCCGCGGAUUCACACUUAUGUGUGAGUGGUAGGGGAGCGUUCUGUAAGCCUGCGAAGGUGACUCGUAAGGGUUGCUGGAGGUAUCAGAAGUGCGAAUGCUGACAUGAGUAACGUUAAAGCGGGUGAAAAGCCCGCUCGCCGUAAGCCCAAGGUUUCCUGCUCUACGUUCAUCGGAGCAGGGUGAGUCGGCCCCUAAGGUGAGGCUGAGAAGCGUAACUGAUGGGAACAAGGUUAAUAUUCCUUGACCACCGCUGAAUGCGAAGGGGGGACGGAGUAUUGAAGAUCAUCCGGGUGUUGGAUAUCCCGGUUUGCGAGCGUAGGAGGCUGACAGGCAAAUCCGUCAGCGAAUCUCCGAGGCGAAGCAUCGAGCUCUCUUUUGAGCGAAGUGAUUGGAUGUGCUUCCAGGAAAAGCCUCUAAGCUCCAGUUCAGCGGGACCGUACCGCAAACCGACACUGGUGGGCGAGCUGAAUAUGCUCAGGCGCUUGAGAGAACUCAGGAGAAGGAACUCGGCAAAUUGACACCGUAACUUCGGGAUAAGGUGUGCCUUUGUAGCGUGGAGGGAGAAACACCCCGAGCGCGAAGAGGUCUCAGAUAAUCGGUGGCUGCGACUGUUUAUUAAAAACACAGCACUCUGCAAAGACGAAAGUCGACGUAUAGGGUGUGAUGCCUGCCCGGUGCUGGAAGAUUAAUUGAUGGGGUGCAAGCUCCUGAUCGAAGUCCCAGUAAACGGCGGCCGUAACUAUAACGGUCCUAAGGUAGCGAAAUUCCUUGUCGGGCAAGUUCCGACCUGCACGAAUGGCAUAACGAUGGCCACACUGUCUCCUCCUGAGACUCAGUGAAGUUGAAGUGU
rnacentral:rRNA from 1 species